rnacentral:rRNA from 1 species
CGUGCUUAACACAUGCAAGUCGAACGGAGUUUUAACGGAAGUUUCGGAUGGAAGUUUAGAACUAGUGGCGGACGGGUGAGUAACGCGUGGGUAACCUGCCUCAUACAGGGGGAUAACAGUUAGAAAUGACUGCUAACACCGCAUAAUAUAGCGAAACCGCAUGAUUUUGCUAUCAAAUAUUUAUAGGUAUGAGAUGGGCCCGCGUCUGAUUAGCUAGUUGGUGGGGUAAAAGCCUACCAAGGCGACGAUCAGUAGCCGGCUUGAGAGAGUGACCGGCCACAUUGGGACUGAGACACGGCCCAAACUCCUACGGGAGGCAGCAGUGGGGAAUAUUGGACAAUGGGGGAAACCCUGAUCCAGCCGACGCCGCGUGAGUGAAGAAGUAUUUCGGUAUGUAAAGCUCUAUCAGCAGGGAAGAUAAUGACAGUACCUGACUAAGAAGCCCCGGCUAACUACGUGCCAGCCGCCGC